GAUGAACGCUAGCGGCAGGCCUAAUACAUGCAAGUCGAACGGUGUCUUCGGACAUAGUGGCGCACGGGUGCGUAACACGUAUGCAACCUACCUUACCUUGGGGGAUAGCCUUUCGAAAGGGAGAUUGAUACCGCAUAAGACAGUAGCUGGGCAUCCAGCAGCUGUUAAAGAUUUAUCGAUGUAAGCUGGGCAUGCGUCCAAUUAGCUAGUUGGUGAGGUAACGGCUCACGAAAGCAAUGAUUGGUAGGGGAACUGAGAGGUCAAUCCCCCACACUGGCACUGAGAUGCGGACCAGACUCCUACAGGAGGCAGCAGUAGGGAAUACUGGGCAAUGGACGCAAGUCUGACCCAGCCAUGCCGCGUGCAGGAUGAAGGCGUUAUGCGUUGUAAACUGCUUUUAUACAGGAAGAAACGACUCUUGCGAGAGGCAUUGACGGUACUGUAUGAAUAAGCACCGGCUAACUCCGUGCCAGCCGCCGCAGUAAAAC
rnacentral:rRNA from 1 species